rnacentral:lncRNA from 1 species
GAGGCUGAAGUGAAUGCACCAUAACAACUCCAGAGACAGAACCAGUCACCAGCCAAACAUUAUCAGGCCAGCAGGAGAGCAGCUGCAUCAUUCCCAUACAGGGCAUUUCCAUCAUGGCCACCUUUCAGGCCAAUCAAGAAGCAAGAGAAGAUUCCAAGGGUCAAGCCACAAAUAAUGCCCAGAACAACUUAUGAUCCAGUAAAGAUCAAUGACUUGUAAUACAGAUUUGAAAGGAUGCGGAUCAAUGUAAGUGCUGCAAGAUUUUGCUCUUCAUUAUUUUAAAACGAAUGCACAUCUUCUGUGGGUAAAACAGCCCAAAGCAGUCUCUUUUAAAUCAUCUAUUCCGAAAGAUACAAUACCUCAAAACAACAAGCCUUUGACAUCUGUGACACAGGAGACAUGCAGAAAUCAUUAAGGGUAUCCCGAGGGGCUUCCAACAGUUGCUCCACUUUAGGGUGGGUGUGAGAAGGUUUAAAAUUAAAUUACUUUAAAAUAAAGUUAGAGCACUAAGCGAUUUCCUGCUUUUG